ensembl:snRNA U2 U2 spliceosomal RNA
AUCGCUUCUCGGCCUUUUGGCUGUGAUCAAGUGUAGUAUCUGUUCUUAUCAGUUUAAUAUCUGAUACGCCCCCUAUCUGAGGACCAUAUAUUAAAUGGAUUUUUAGAACAUGGAGAUGGAAGAAGAGCUCGCUCUGUCCUCUCCACGCAUUGACCUGGUAUUGCAGUACCUCCAGGACCGGUGCACCAAAA